GGGAUGCUGGCUGCACAGAAAAAGUGUUGUUCACCACCAGGAGGAAGGAGGGAAACAAGAAGACCUGAGGAUCAGGUGGUACACCACUUCAGUGUUCAGGUGGCACAAACAAACACUAGAAGAAAAUAAUCAUCACCAGCCUGGGAAACAUGGCAAAAUCCAAUCUCUACAAAAAAUAACAACAACAAAAGAAAACCACACACACACAAAAGUAAAUUAGCCAGGCAUGGUGGCAUGCACCUGUAAUCCCAGCUGCUUGAGAGGCUGAGGUGGGAGGAUUCAUUGAACCCAGGAGAUUGAGGUUGCAGUGAGGUGUGAUUGCACCACUGUGCUCGAGCCUAGACAACAGAGUGGGACUUAGAGAGAGAGAGAGAGAGAGAGACAAAAGAAGAAAGAAAAGAAAAAGAAAAGGAAAGAAAGAAAGAAA
rnacentral:lncRNA from 1 species